GUGUUCAUUUCAACAGCACACAUGCCAGAGUUAGAAAGAUACAGAGGAGACUAGCAUGGCCCCGGAGCAAGGAUGACACCCACACUGGUGAAGCAUUCCAUAUUUUU
rnacentral:snRNA from 1 species